AUCUUUUUAGUGAAUCUCAGAUUGACAUUCACCAGCACGGUAUUGUACACCAACAUUGUAGAAUGCAUGUGUGG